UCAAACUUGAGUGGCUACUUACAUAGUUAUGAUCAUAGAUAGGUUUUGGCGGCCAUUUUGGCGUCCAUCUUGGUGGCCAUCUUGGAAAAACUACUUUCCGGAAAUUCGAUUUUGGUAAACUUUUGAUAUGUUAUAAAGUACAUCUUACUCUACCGGGAUCAGUUUGCAUACCUUUUGUAGCAUUUUUUGGGGGGUGGGGGUCAAAGUGUAUAUUGUCCCUGCUAUCCGUAAUGUUGGGCGCUUCGCAAGCAGGCAAUCAGUACCCCUCGAUUCAGUUAGCUGCUGGGUAGGCAAUCGGACUGUCAAAACUAGCCCCAUGUGAGACUCAAAAUAUGACAACAUGCUGAGCGUUUCAAGUAUGAUCAACAUCUAUCAUCAUACGGACUAUUUGUUAACGUCUUUGUACUCAUCAACGGUUAAGCAUAAAAUAACUAUAGAAGUAUUCGAAACUUAAAACUUUAAAACAGAUUAAUUUAGAUGCGUCUUGAAAACGUCCUGUCCCAGUUAACACUCAAGUGGUCUGCUUAUCAUGUUCAAACAAUCGACUAGCCUGGCGAGCAGAUACGCGUUACUUUGUAAACUACAUACACAGACCAAAAGAAGGAAUGUAAUUACAUGUAGUGCAAUCAUGUUCCUUGUCUAUUUUAUUGAUAAUUUAGUUGUUUGCUGCCACAAACAUCUUCAUAAAAUAAAGCAUUAAUGAAAGAAAAGUGUGAUAAAUAGAAUAUAUAAGGAUGUAUCUCAAUGUUAAUUAUUUGGUUUCUUUAUUCACUUGUUAACAUUAAAUAAAUAGAUAACUCCACUGCUCGCUAUUAUGCUCAAUGAUUACAAGUCUUGAUCAUAUAGCGUUCAAACACAGACAACUUGUCUAGACAAAUAGUGUGCUCCCAUGCAAUGGCAGUAACUUUCACCUUGCUACGGUAUAGACAUGAUAUGAGCCAUACAUUUGUUUUAUUCAAAAUACCACAGUUCUCUCCGUGAUCACAGUGAGAACACUGUGAGGUGUUUGCUCGACUAAUAGACUGUAUUGAGAGAUCAGUGUGAGGUGUUUUUAACUAGACUGAAGGGGCGAUCACUAUGGGAUGUUUAUACAAGACUGGAGGGGACUCACUGUGAUGUUUUUGUUCAAUAUACCACUUGAAAAGGGAGAUCAUUAUGAGGCGUUUGGUUGAAUGCUAAACUGCAGGGAAGAUCACUAUACGAUGUUUGAUUUAAAUCUACACGGCUAGGUGCAUCACGUCGAGGUGCGUGUUUCAGAAACGAAGAUCACUGUCCUGGGAGAGACCCUUGUGGGUCAUGCCACAGGCCAAUACCGUGGAAUGGUAGAGCUAUCUACUGUGAUGCGUGCUAUACAUGGAACCAUAUCUCAUGUGAAGGGAUCAGCCCAAAAGACUAUAUAAAGCUUGGUAAAUCUGACGAUGCGCGGACCUGCCACUCUUGUUCGCACUUUCAUUUUUCAAAUUCUUAUUUUGAAGAUUCAUUCCACUCAGAACUACUUGAUGACUCGAACCUUUCAACAACGGAUACUCCCAGUAUAUUUGACACUCUCGUUCAGCUACGUAAAAAACAGCCAAAUCGUUUUCUUUGUGCAUCUCUAAACAUUAACAGUGUUCGAAAUAAGUUUAAAUACAUCAAAGAACUAUUAACAAAAAAAUAUUGUUGACCUUUUGUUUUUAUCAGAGACCAAGAUAGAUGAUUCCUUUCCAAAUGCACAGUUUGCGGUGGAUAACUAUCACUUGUGGAGAGCGGACAGGACAGCCAGUGGUGGAGGAGUAAUGGCCUACUUGCGGUCAGAUAUUGCUGGGGAUGUGAUAUGGAAAUUAAAGACAUUGAAUCAAUUUCUGUAGUAGUAAAUUUAAAUGGGUCGAAAUGGAUAAUAUAUGGAGCAUAUAAACCACCGUCUUGAUCUGAUACAACAUUUCAAACGAUUUUAAUAUGACUAUUGAUAAAAUACUGUCUAAAACUGAUAAUUGUAUGGUAAUAGGUGAUUUAAAUUUUGAUAUGUUACAGGCCGAGAAAUUUUCAACUCAUGUGAUAUUUUUGAUCUCACAAAUAUUAUAAAGAACCCUACUUAUUUUACAAAAAAUGCUAAACCAACACUUUUAGAUCUUAUUUUAACCAAAAGUCGUUCUUUUAUUUGUGGAACAUGUAAUUUUAAUUAAGAAUUCAAACUAGAAUAAAAGGUGAUCAUGCAGAAUGCUUUAAAUGAACGUUACCAUCUCUUUUGUCAUGAUUUAGGUAUUUAAGAUUAGAUAAUUUUACUUUGCAUGUAAAUGCUCUUUAUCCGCUGCUAUAAUGCGAAGCUAUUUAAAGGAAUGUUAUUAAAAUAUACCUUCUGUGUA